rnacentral:rRNA from 1 species
GACGAACGCUGGCGGCACGCCUAACACAUGCAAGUCGAACGGACUUACAAGAGCUUGCUUUUUUAAGUUAGUGGCGGACGGGUGAGUAACACGUGAGCAACCCGCCUCUGAGAGGGGGAUAGCUUCUGGAAACGGAUGGUAAUACCCCAUAAAAUAUAAAUAUCGCAUGAUAGAUAUAUCAAAGAAAUUCGCUCAGAGAUGGGCUCGCGUCUGAUUAGAUAGUUGGUGAGGUAACGGCUCACCAAGUCGACGAUCAGUAGCCGGACUGAGAGGUUGAACGGCCACAUUGGGACUGAGACACGGCCCAGACUCCUACGGGAGGCAGCAGUGGGGAAUAUUGCACAAUGGAGGGAACUCUGAUGCAGCGAUGCCGCGUGGAGGAAGAAGGUUUUCGGAUUGUAAACUCCUUUUAUCAGGGACGUUAAUAACGGUACCUGAAGAAAAAGCGACGGCUAACUACGUG